ACAGUUGCCAGCAUACCCUCCGGGGUGAUGGGUACACUGUGGAGACCGCCGCUGCUAAAGCGGAAGAAGGAAUGGGCAACGGUAGGUCAGUAUGCCCCGAAUCUCCCGGGCUACACGCGGGCUACAAUGGUUGGUACAAUGGGCAUCGUACCCGAAAGGGGAAGGAAAUCUACUUAAAGCCAAUCGUAGUUCGGAUUGAGGGCUGCAACUCGCCCUCAUGAAGCUGGAAUCCGUAGUAAUCGCGUUUCAACAGAACGCGGUGAAUACGUCCCUGCUCCUU
rnacentral:rRNA from 1 species